GAUAACGGGCCACGCAGUAUUUAAAAGAAUACAGUUUCCAUGUAAUUAUUUCGGGUAAAGUUAGCCAGGUGGCUAGGAGCCGGGCCGCAGCCCGCUGCUCCCACUACAGGAAGCCAGCUGAAUGGAAGCCUAAGUGAACCAGAAAGUCAACAAGGGAUGCUCCUCCAUGGUUUCUGCUUCAAGCUGCUGUCUUGAAUUCCUGCCUUGACUUUCCUCUGGGACGGAUGGUGAUGACCUCAGCGACUAUGACCUGAAGUUUAAUGCAAAUAAACCCUUUCCUCCCCCACGUUUCUUUUGUUUUACCAUAGCCACAGAAAUGUUUUACCACUGCAACCGAAAUGAAACUAGAACAGAAGGUGUGUUCAACGUUGUCCUGAGAGAACAGAAUGAAGGAGUCAAGGUAGUCACAUGGUGUGGGCCACUGGCACUUCCUAGCCACCCAUUAUGUUAUUUCAAAGUCUCCACCAGGGAGGAGCGUGCUUCUGUGCCCCCAGAGAACCCAAGGGAAGGAUGCUGUGAGCAACCUCCAGAAUGGAGCAUUUUCCAGCUCAAGAUGUCCCACACUGCCAAGGUUGAGAAACCCUGAUUCUGAAGAAGAUAGGCAGGUGGGGAAGUCCGCUCUCAAAGGGAUGAGGAAACACUGGAGGUGAAGGGGGCAGCGCACACUGGCUUUAGUGCCAGAGCCUCAAGACAGCGCGGCUGCCCUUGGCAAAGGCAAACCCCAAUGGAAGACACAAAGGAAAGGCAAGGCCAGGGGGGCUUCUGAUCGUGGACACUUCUUGACAGAAGACACUAUUGGUGCUCUACACCCGACCUGUUAAAGAGGCCACUAUGGGAUUCUAAAGAUCAGCAGGGAGCAUGGGAGAAGGGCAGACUAAACCAAAAGCAGUCAAGGUAGACAGCAAAAGUGACCCCGGAUGCAUUCCGGGGGUGAUGGUUACAACCCAGGAAUGAAUCACCACAGGGACUGAGGGUAACUGGGUGGCAAGGCCCACUUUGCAGGGAGCCCUAACCGAAAGCCAGUUGAGGGAAGGUCUUAGUUUCUUCCCCUGUUGCUCUUUGUGUCCAUUUGAAUUCAAAACGUCCCUCAUAGGCUCUGGUCUUUGAAUACUUGGUCCCCAGUUGGUAGUGCCAUCUGGAAGAGGUUUGGAAAGCUAUGGUCUUGCUGGAGGAAGUGUGUCAUGGACAGCAAUCUGUGCGAGUUCAAAGCCUCCCCCUCCUGCCAGUCUGUGCUCGGCUCCAUGCUUGCCGUUGAGGUGUGAAAGCUCAGCUUCUUGCUCCAGCCCCCACUCCUGCCACUGGCUGCUAUGCCUCCCCACCGGGAUGAACUCUAACCUUCUGGAACUGUAUGCCCAAAUAAACUCUUCUAGAAGUUGCUUUCGGUCAGGACAUUUUGUUAUAGCAACAGAAAAGCCACCAAUAUGCCGGGACAAAAGACCUCAGCCAAAGCAAGCUAGAGGAGGCAGGGCUGACCUUGGCUCUAGAUUCCAGUGCACGGUCUAUGGUGAGGAUGUUAAAGCAGCAGGAGUUUGAAGCCUCUGGUCACAUUACAUCCACAGACAAGAAACAGGAAGUAAUGAAGGUGCCCAAGUGCUCAGUUUGACUUCUCCCUUUAAUGCAGUGUCCAAGAUGACCUGCCAAGAUAAUCUCCCAGAGGCCCAUCUGCCAGGUAAUUCUAAAUUUAUCAAGUUGACAGUUAACCCUAGCCAUGAGAGGAAGGACUUCAAAUCAAGACCUCAGCCUCACAGAUAAAUAACUGAACCUAUUCAGUAAAAUUGGGGGUGUGUGGUGUUAUGGAGAGGAGGGGCUUAUACAGGACUUUAAGCACCGCUGAGUUCUCAGUGCAAAUCUAAUGUUCUCUUUAACUCCUACCAGGGUUUUGAAGAAGAAGAAAAAAAAAAAACGAGCAAUGUUCAGACACAUACCUGAGACCAGGUAUGCUGGAGUUCUAAGAGUGUACCCAAGCACAAGAAAACUUAAACACCAACCUCGACGCAGUGAGUCUAACACAGUGAUCCUCAACCUUCCUAACGCUUUGACCCUUUAAAACUCAACCGUAAAGUUAUUCCGUUGCUACCUCACGACUGUAGUGUGGCUACUGUUAUGAGUCAUAAUGUAAAUAUCUGAUAUGCAGGGUAUCUAUCUGACAUGUCACCACACUCAACUUGUGGGCUUGACUUUCAACCUCCCAGUACCCUGCGCCAGAGAGCGCUCAAAGUCGAAGCUGCCCAGAGUCUGUUCUUUGAGGUUAACUGGGUACCACUUUCCUUGUUACAUUUGGGUGCCCAUCACAGCAUUGCUUUAUUCUUGGCUCAUCGGGAUCCCAUGAUCCGUGUGCGUGCCAUGGCCCCUGGGACAAGGCUCAUAGUGUGUAGGUCAAAACGUCUCAACCUCAGAGCUGUUGAUAACAGUAUCAGGUUGUUCUUUGUCACGGGGACCACUCCUUGCUGCUGUCCGAGGUUCCGGCAGUGGUCCAACCUUAUCACUAGGUGUGGCAUGUCCCCGAGCUUCUCAGUUCUAAUCACACAUUACCAAAUAUUCCCUUGGGAGCCAAACGUCCCCCAAGUUUAUAACAGGUGCUCAAUAGGAAAGAUAAGGACAAGCCAGUACUCUGAGAAUGUUGAAACAAGUGGAGAGCAAGCAAACCAGAAAUGCCCUAACUGCCCUUGGCAGGAAGAACACGGUAAGAGCAAGAAGCUACCUCUCUUAGUCCAGAAAAUAGCUGGUGCUUUGGUUCUCUCUGUCUGUUUCUACGACUCUGUUCUCUCUGUGUCUCUCUCUCAGCACUUUACCAUCCUUUGCCUAGUCUGGUUUCCUAUGACAGCGUCCUCUGAGCAUGUGUGGCGGGGCCAGGCACUGCCCCAAGCAUGUGGGACGCGCAACUUCACUUCGUUCACCUGAUAGCUCAUAGCCAGGAAUGAGGGAAGACACAUUCCGUAAACAUACUGCCCUUCUGAGCCAUAGCUUUGUAUGGCAAGGCGAACAGAACAAAGGCAGAGAACCCCACAGCUCCUGCCUCGUCUUCUUUCACUUCUUCCAUGGUCUCAGUACUUUUGCCGUACUCGGGUCCUAUCCCUGGGAUCCAAAUCACCACCUCCAAAAUGUCUCCCUUUCCCCAAAUGUCUUCUUCUCAGCUUGGUCCCUGGAGGGAAAUGGCCAUCUUGUUCCUUCCUUCCUCCCCGGGCAUUCUCAGUGUGUCACUGUCAUCCAGUAUGCAUUGGCCUUACCCUGGGCCUUCUUGUCGUGGGCUUCACUGAAGCAGGCCUCUCUGGUGAGUGUUCUGGAUGCAAGGAUGGAACCCAGAGGUCUCUCUCAGCUCAUUCAUUCUCUCCUGCACGUGGGCUGUUGUUUCCAACUCUGCUCAUUCGGGAGCUCUCAAAUGAACCAGGGCUUAAAAAGAAAACAGCUAGAGGUAGACAUAGCACCAAGCCAGGGAUCAAAACCCUGGAUGUGUAAGAAAAGCAUCUUCAAGUAAAAGAUCUAAGAGAUAAAGAAACAAGAGAGCUACAGAGAGAACUUGCUGUCCAAGGAAUGGCCAGGAUGCAGGAGAAUGAAGGAUCAGGGCAGCAGUGAAUGGAGCCAACGUAGAAGCAGCAUUAAUGAGUGUGGCCCAGUCAAGCUCCCAUUGCCUCCAUCCUCCUUAGUCAAGCGCUCGAUUGGGCUGCAGAAAGGGAGUAGGGUGCUAUCACUGUAUAAAUCAUCUGAUCUGUACUCGUUGGCAGAAUGUGUUCAUAACAGCUUAAUCCGUAGAAAAGAAAGCAACCCUAGUUCCUACACAAGAAAAGGUAACUCAGACAGGUGAAGCCGAUUGCUUAAGAGUGAGCAAUCUCCGUGAACAUGUUGUGGGUCUUACCAGUCGAGAUUUAGAUGUGUGGGGAGGGAGAGGGGAGCUAUGCCUGCCAUUGUUCCCCUGGAUGUUUACAGUCAAACCUCACUGGGUCAUUCUUACACAAGUCCUCUUCCAUUAGCUUUCGGAACCUAAAGCGAGGCAGAAACACUCCUUCCCUGCUUGUUAUGUGCGCCGCAAUGUGGAGAACAUAUAUGGUUAUGACGCUCCCGUCUGCCUUCUGGCUCCUCCCUCUCCUGCCUCUGGGAAGGGGACAUGGUGAGACGACAGGAAGAACUGGACGGGAGUGACUUGCCUGGUGUAAAAUUCUUCUCUCCCUAGCAGAGAACUGGAAAGAUAACAAUGAAGAAACAACUGGGGCUAAGGAGGAAACUCGAGAUCACAGAGGACCAUGUUGAAGCCCUCCUCUCUGGCUGAUGACCUCCUAGCUGACCAGGCUAAGCCUCACCCUAUGAGCAAAUCCUGUGACUCUUCCAACCUGCUUUCACUGGGCCUGGAAAUGCCACAUGCCAUAGAGAAGUCCUCCGGUGCUCCUCUCAGGAACAGGGUUCACAUCUCGAUCCGCCGCCCUGGUUUUAGGCUCACUCAGCAGGAAGAAAGGCUGUGAGUGGAUCCCACCAAAACAGAACAGCAGCGUCCUGCGUGUGGAGAUUGAUGGAUGGAAACUACACGUUGAUCCUGGGUAGUUUCAUCUCAUUUUGUUCUUCUGGUUCAUAACAAGAGGGCAGGCAUAUACUUAGAAUUCUGAACUGACCUCUCAAAGGAAUGGGUUGAAGAAAAUGGAAUAGAACGGAGGAGGUUCCGGAAACCGUAGAGAAUUGAUAUAAAGGAAUAGAAAGACUUCCUGCAAGGAAAUGUUGCUGUUAGGAUGUACGACCUUGGGUUUAGAGGGUGGUCAUAGAGGCGUAAUUAGGUUAUGCGACCUCCAAAGACACAACAUCGCCUUCACGGAGCUGUAGCUUAACCAGCAUUGAGGACACAGCCUGAUGAGACUUCGCUCUGUGGUAGAGAAUCCAGGAAAAUUAGAGGACAAAGGACAAAGCCAUCAAGAUUACCUCAGAGGAACUUGGAAGAACCUCAAAGAGUCAAGGGGCACAAAAAUGCAGGGUCUGGGUAGGCAGAGGCCACCACUCCUGGAAGGGGAAUAUGAUUGACAGAGCUAGAGAAGAAAUGGAACUUGGGUAAUGAGGAAAGCCCCAUCAACCAUGCAGGGCAUCUUCAGAGCCUGGUGGGGGACAAAGGAGCUUCUAUCCCUGUCACCACCUGGCUAAGAGCGCGUUUAUGACCAAGCCCACACAAAGUCUGGUCUGGAACAGACCAGCAAUGAAAUCACCACGGAACAAUGGCCUCCAAGAGCUAGGCUGUGUCACACUGCCCUUUCUGUGCAGGUGACCCCAGCAGAAAGAGCCAGUGUAUAAGUACCUACGCAAGUGGUCAAACUGGGCAAUACUUUCACCAAAGGGAGGAGGACGUUUCACCAGUGUGGGGCCAUUCAUUCACAUCCUUCCCUCAUUGUCGCUGUGUCGGGUCUAAUGGGCUCAACUAUAGAAGAGACCUUCAUUCUGCCUUCAGGCAGCUUUCAAUGAAUUAGGCAGGUUUGGCUCUGAGACUACUCACUCCCAUUUAAAAAACAAAAGUAGCUAUAAUGUCUAAUAAACUGUAGGCUUAGGGGUGUGGCUCAGGGGUGUGGCUCAGGGGUAGAGUUCUUCUCUAACAUGAUGCCCUGGUUUCAGUUCCCAGUGCCGCACGCACCAAAGAACUUAGAAAGCUUUGAGCAUAGACCUUUAUUCUCUCUUUAGUUCGUCUUAUACCUUUUAAUAGUCUAUUUUUUAAUUCAAAAAAGCCCAAAUUCCAAGAUGACAGACACCAAGAGUGUUCAACUUUUAGGACCUCCACUGGACUGUCCAGUAACUCCUAGAAGAUGCCACCAAGCUUUGAUCCCUUCAUUUGGAGCAUAAAAUAAAGUUAUUUACUUAAAAUAAA